AAUAAUAAAAAGGAUGAUCUCACUUUUACGGUAAGAUAAAAAAAAAAACUCGGCUGGCCCCGCUCCUCGAGCUUUGGGAUGCGUCCAGUACCUGACUAAGUGCAGAUGUUGUUGCGUCCUCGCAUCGCAGAGCCGCCGCUCCUGCGUUUCCUUUUCAAGUUGCAGUAAAUUCAAACACUUUGCGUCAAGGGUGGAGAAGGAAGAAAAAUCUAUCGAACUUUCUAUCAGACGGAUUACAGCAGGAACUGCGAACCUCUUCACGUGCAUCACCUUCUUUGGGGGCUCGCGGUCUGUUUCGGAGAGCCGGAACCCGUAAUUCUAUUAAGUGUAACAUCUACAAACACAGCGCAUAAAUCGGUGGCUGCCCAGACUCCAUCCGCACAGACACAGCACACAAGUCUCAGCUCUAAGCUCGCCCUGCCCGGCACUUUUAACCCAAGGUACCCGCUAUAGACCAGCCCCACACUCAGAUCACCACCCCGGUGACCGUCCUACCGGCUCGGAGCGUGCCGCGUCGCUGCUCGCACCCACCGCCCGCACCCUGCCCGCACGGAAGAAGCCGUGGCGGGCCCUGGGCAACGAGCAGGCACGGCAGCGGCCCGCGGGGGUCACGAAAUGAAGCUGGCUGAACCCUGCGGGCGCCGUGCCGGCCGCCGCCACCGAGGGAGAGCGAAGCCGAGCUCCCGGCGCGCCGUCGGGGCGGGCGGGCGGCCCUGCGGCAGCUCCGUGGGCGCCCCUCGGAGCCCCCAGACGCCGAGCGAGCCUCAAAGCGGGGUCUUCGCAUCCGAGCAAGGCAGUCCUGCGGCCGCACCGAGCCGGGGACUCACCUGCCCGCUGGCCCCCACCGCACGCACCGGAAGCGCCACCGAGACGGCGCCCGGUGACCGCGGGCCGCAGACGGGGUCCCCCUCCGUCCAGUGUCGCCCUCCCGCCAUGUCGCCUCCCGUCUCGAGGAACGUCGACCCCCGCAGCCCCCGCCGUCGGGGGUGAGAGAAGGCGGCGGGGAGCGCUCCGCUUUCUGCCGGCGAGGAACAAAGGAGCAGCGGCUUGCAUUAGCGCCGGGCGGGAGGGAUGCGCCUCUGACAAGUUUGUUUAAAAACACAACUGCCCGCGACCGAAAACGAUACUCUGCUUUUGUGAAACAUAAAGUAUUGUAAAUAACCAUUAUAACGGCAAUAAUUAUCUGAGGGGAGAACAAAGGCAUUUUGUAAUAUCUACAUAACUUUAUUAGAGCAAAAUUAUUUUAAAAUGCCUCUGAAUUCCCAAGCCUCCUGAGUACAAAUGAAUAAAAGUUUUUUUUUUUUU